GAUGAACGCUGGCGGCGUGCCUAAUACAUGCAAGUCGAGCGAACAGACGAGGAGCUUUCUCCUCUGACGUUAGCGGCGGACGGGUGAGUAACACGUGGAUAACCUACCUAUAAGACUGGGAUAACUUCGUGAAACCGGAGCUAAUACCGGAUAAUAUAUUGAACCGCAUGGUUCGAUAGUGAAAGACGGUUUUGCUGUCACUUAUAGAUGGUUCCGCGCCGCAUUAGCUAGUUGGUAAGGUAACGGCUUACCAAGGCAACGAUGCGUAGCCGACCUGAGAGGGUGAUCGGCCACACUGGAACUGAGACACGGUCCAGACUCCUACGGGAGGCAGCAGUAGGGAAUCUUCCGCAAUGGGCGAAAGCCUGACGGAGCAACGCCGCGUGAGUGAUGAAGGUCUUCGGAUCGUAAAACUCUGUUAUUAGGGAAGAACAAAUGUGUAAGUAAAUAUGCACGUCUUGACGGUACCUAAUCAGAAAGCCACGGCUAACUACGUG
rnacentral:rRNA from 1 species